rnacentral:tRNA from 1 species
GCCCUAAUAGCUUAGUAUUUAAAGCGUCGGUCUUGUAAUCCGGAAAUCGGGGGCUAAAAUCCCCCUUAGUGCC